UUUGUAGGUAAUAUCAUACUUGGUGUGUCUAGUAGGCAAAUCAGUUCACCAGUGUACAAAGGCAGAAGAUAUUUUCACAGGCCCCAGAAGAUGAACUUCAAGCUGCUACUCCCAAACACAUUCUCCACUGUCUGGAAGACGUGCAAAGGCAGCGUUCUCCAUCUGAAAUCCUUCAAAGUGCUGUGGGAAUAAAAGACUCCCUGCCAAAAGCCCCAGAGAGAUCUCUAUUGAAACCUAAUGAAUGGAACUGAGAAUUCCUUGUUACAAUACUGUUUGUUUCUUGGGUCAUAUCCUAGUAUCUAAGAGGACAUCAAAAUAAAUGACAAAAACAAGACAUUA